GACCCUUGCUUAUCCCAAGGAUAAGCCAACACAGGCGCAACUCCAAUAUCAUCAACUUUUGGAGUGAGCAGCGGUGUUAGGUUAGUUGCAGCAAGGCUCUUAGGAGGAAACAGUAGUAAAAAACUUAGUUUUGUUGGAGAAAAAACUGGUAAUUCAAACUUUGAUGGCAAAGGAACCUAUUUAGUGUUCAAUGUUAGUGAUACAAUUUUUGUCAGCGACUUGAAAUCUCGAGAUAAGGACCCUAUAAAGUCUAUACAUUUCAGCAAUUCAAAACCUGUUUGCCAUACAUUUGAUCCAGAUGCAAAGGAAGGACCUAACUUGCUCAUUGGGUUAAAGUCUGGAGAUGUUUAUUUAGUAUCUUCACGGCAACAACUACAACAUAUUGGGAAGAAGCUUAUUAGGGCACACCAUUACAACAAGGAUGGUGUUGAGCAUAAUGAAGAAGGCCAGCAGGAUGAGUCUUCCCAUACUGAAGCUUGUACCUUCCUUUUGGAUUCUUGAAAUUGGUCUUCAAACCAGGUGAUUGUGCAUUAUUAUUGUUGUUGUUUCCUUGUACUGAUGAUGAUGACAUUGAAUUACCACUAACCUCUCAAUUCAUCCUUCUUCCUAUCAACAAUUGAAAAAAAAAAUUCUUAUAUGCAUAAAAGAAUGAAGAGUUAGGUCGACCUCAACAUAAAUAAAUCUAAAGUAAAUAUAAAAUUGAUCGAAGAAAAUAAUAAAAAUUUUAUUAUCGUGCGAUGCGCGGCCAGUUUUCCUAGUAUAUAUAUAUAAAAGAGGAUUAGAGGCAUGCUGAUAUGGCAUGCCUCAAUGAUCAAGAAAUUAAUUUAUCUUUUUUCUGAUUUUAUUGUUUUUUUUUUCUUUUAAAAUGAUUAAAAAAUGAGUAUUAUCCAUUUAAAAAAUAAUCAAACGUCGCUAUUAAAUAAACCGUCGACUUAAAUCCACUUAAUUAGGGAUUGAGUUUAAUUUGCAGUGUCUUCUUCUUAUUUUCCACUUCCUCCCAAGAGUCUUCUUCAGUUCCACUUCUUCCUGCUGUCGCCAUGGGUAAUUUCUUAUCUUCUAUCUUUCAAUUUUAUCCCAUCUUCUGGUCCACUAAAAUUUCUUCUUUGUAAUUUUGCUAUUGGCUUUAUUUCUCUCAUGUUUGAGAAACGUUUCAAGACUGCAAAGUCUUGUAUAAGUACAAAUUACAUUAAUCUUCAAAGUUCUGAGAAUUUAAAUUUUGAAGAACAUUGACUUGUGUGUGCGAAUAGAAACAGAAAACAAAAGAAUUAUUUUAUGAAGUAUUGUUGAUUAAGAUUAUGUUGCAUGCACAGGAAGCCAGCUCUACUCCAAGAGAGAAGACCAUGAGUAUGCUAAUGCUAAGUUUUUUUUUUCUCGUAAGUAUGACUAAAAUUCAUAAGACACUAUAUAAUAUAAAGACAGAGAGUGAAACGGGUGAGAAAACAGAAGAGUUUUAGUACUUUCUUGGACUUCCUUUCUAAUCUUUUUGUUAUUUUAUUCUACUUUUUGGAAUCGAUAAAGUAUUAAAAAAAUUAUUCUACUUUUUGGAAUUGCUACAGUAUUAUUUCAAUUUUUUUGAAAAAAAUUCAUAAGCAGUUUUUAGAGCUACUUUUUAACUUGACAAUCAUAUAAUAAUAUUUAUUUAUAAAAUAGGAGCAAAAACUUCGUAGUAUUAUUAUUAGGAAUCAACUUAUGUGAUUUGGUAAACUCUUUACCGAGGAAUAGUGUAACCGAUUAUACCAAAGAUGAGAUGGAGCGAACGGGUUGUGUGGGUUAGGUUCUUUUAAGUGAUUUAUAAGCAGUUGUAAUUUUUGUCUCUUUUUUUUUUUACUAGAGUGUUUGGAUUAAGUUAUUUUUAAAUGUUUUUGGCUUUUACGUACUUUAUUUUAGGCUUAAAAAGGAAGAAAAAUGAUUUUUAAUUGGGAAAAUUAUUUAUCCCUUAAAAGGUACCAAAAAGGGUCAAAAGUCGAAAAGUUAAUUGUUAUCUGCUUUUAACUUUUAAGUUACUUAUAAAAAAUUCAUCCAAAUGCUCUCCAAGCCUAAAGUUUAGUGCUUAAAAUCACUUUGUAUGAAGUGUGUUUCAUAGGGUUUUAGGCUACAGGUGACAAAAGAGUUUUAAAAUGAGGUGUAGGUAACACAAGUCUUAAUUAUUAGU